GACUCCAUGAAGCUGGAUUCGCUAGUAAUCGCGCAUCAGCCACAGCGCGGUGAAUACGUUCCCGGGCCUUGUACACACCGCCCGUCAAGCCAUGGAAGCCGGGAGUGCCUGAAGUGCGUGACCGCAAGGAGCGUCCUAAGGCAAUACCGGUGACUGGGGCUAAGUCGUAACAAGGUAAC
rnacentral:rRNA from 1 species